AUUGAACGCUGGCGGCCGGCCUAACACAUGCAAGACGAACGAGUGGCGGACGGGUGCGUAAUGUCUGGGAAACUGCCUGAUGGCGGGGGAUAACUACUGGCAACGGUAGCUAAUCCCGCAUCCCAUCAGAUGUGCCCAGAUGGGAUUAGCUUGUUGGUGGGGUAACGGCUCACCAAGGCGAAGAUCCCUAGCUGGGCUGCGCGGAUGACCAGCCACACUGGAACGGAGAAACGGUCCAGCCGCCUACGUGAGGCAGCAGUGGGGAAUAUUGCACAAUGGGCGCAAGCCUGAUGCAGCCAUGCCGCGUGUAUGAAGAAGGCCUUCGGGUUGUAAAGUACGUUCAGCGGGGAGGCGUUACCCGCAGAAGAAGCACCGGCUAACUCCGUGCCAGCAGCCGCGGUAAUAC
rnacentral:rRNA from 1 species